UGCUUGUCUCAAGAUUAAGCCAUGCAUGUCUCAGUGCAAGCCGCAUUAAGGUGAAACCGCGAAAGGCUCAUUAAAUCAGUUGUGGUUCCUUAGAUCGUACCCAAGUUACUUGGAUAACUGUGGUAAUUCUAGAGCUAAUACAUGCCGACAGAGUUCCGACCGUCGCGGCGCCCUCGGGCGUCGCUCGCGGGAGGAACGCUUUUAUUAGAUCAAAACCGGCCCGUCGCGGCGCGCUUCGUGCGCGUCCCGAUCGCGGCCCGCGCAAAGACCUGGUGACUCUGAAUAACUUCGAGCUGAUCGCACGGUCUCCGUACCGGCGACGCAUCUUUCAAAUGUCUGCCUUAUCAACUGUCGAUGGUAGGUUCCAUGCCUACCAUGGUGGUAACGGGUAACGGGGAAUCAGGGUUCGAUUCCGGAGAGGGAGCCUGAGAAACGGCUACCACAUCCAAGGAAGGCAGCAGGCGCGCAAAUUACCCACUCCCGGAACGGGGAGGUAGUGACGAAAAAUAACGAUACGGGACUCAUCCGAGGCCCCGUAAUCGGAAUGAGAACACUUUAAAACCUUUAAACGAGGAUCAAUUGGAGGGCAAGUCUGGUGCCAGCAGCCGCGGUAAUUCCAGCUCCAAUAGCGUAUAUUAAAGUUGUUGCGGUUAAAAAGCUCGUAGUCGGAUCUGUGUCUGGACGGUGCCGGACCACCCUGGCGGUCCGUCGUGUCGCGGCCGGGCCGUGUCGCGGGACCACGUGUCCCGUCGGCGCGGUCGCCGUCGCGCUCGUCAGCCGUCUCGGGGUGUUAGUUACCGGCACGUCG
rnacentral:ncRNA from 1 species